GGAGGAUUGGAGAAGGACCCCAAAAAUGAGCCUGAGAAGGAGCAGCCAGUGAAAUAGGAAGAAAGCAAUGGAAAGCUAACACAACUGGAAAUUUCCCAAAGUCUCACCGUCUGCAGGGUAUCAUGCAGACACACUGUACCCUGGGAUGGACUCAAGACCUCAGGAAACAGCCUGACUGAUCUCUGAGGCCCUGGGACAAGACUGCACUCACUGGACACAAGGGCAUCUGAGGCCCUGUAAUCCCUUCAUGAGAUCAAGGUGGGCAGGAGGAUGGGUACAGAGCAAGGAGCCCCACUGGGAAGCCACCAGGGAAGCACAGCUGUAAACCAACACCCAUCCUCAUGUCCUCCAAGAACUCCCACCUAUUUCACCGCCAGCUGAGAGGCUGGGACUCACUUGGCAGG
rnacentral:lncRNA from 1 species